GAAGUUCUGUUGUGUACGCAUUGUCCAUUUCGCAGGUUUGCCUUACAGUCUUAUUACCUUGGGGUUAGUGUUAACCUAGUUGCCGGCAUGCCUUUUCACUUGGUAGCUGAACACUAGGCAACCGUACCCCACCUGUCUUACACACAGGUCAACACUGUCGGACAACCAACGGCACGAACGGAGCUUGU
rnacentral:other from 1 species